rnacentral:misc_RNA from 1 species
GAUCUCUGGUCCAGUGGUCUCAUAGUGGACCUUCGGGUUGGAAGGGUUUUCAAAUUGCUGCAGGACAUAAGCAUUGGGUGUCUUAGCUAAUAUUUCUUCUGCCUUCUGAACAGCUCCUUUCAUGCCCCUUGCUGGAUCCGUAAGAACCAGCUCAGCUCCAAAAGCACGGAGAACCAUCCUUCUUUCUAGACUCAUUGAAGCAGGCAUCGUAAUUAUGAGCUUGUA